rnacentral:snRNA from 1 species
GUGCUCGCUUCGGCAGCACGUGUCCUAGACCUGGAACGACACAGAGACGGUUAGCAUGGCCCCUGAGCAAGGACGACACGCAAAUUCAUGAAGCGUUCCAUAUUUGA